GCCACAGGUUUCAGUACUUGCUUCAGUUGAGUUGAGUGCAAAAUGAAGUUCCUUACAUGUGGUCUGGUUAUGGCAGUAUUUUUAAUUAUAACUUUGGUCUCAGGCGCAAAAGGGCAAGACAAACCUUGUAUCACCAGCGAUGAUUGCCUCUAUCCUUGUUUGAGGACCUGCUCCACCGUGCGAUACUACAUGUGCUACCUAGGACAAUGCUACUGCCAACCAUAUAAUGGCAAAGUCGCUUCGCGCGUGGCACCGCGGCGACCAGUGCCAGUGCCAUUUGAUUUGGAAUCCUACAAAUAAAAUAACUUCUUCCUUUGCUUCAAAUAAAAUAUAUUUUUGUCAAU